UGCAAGUCGAACGAUAUUAAGGGGCUUGCUCCUUAAGAAAGUGGCGCACGGGUGCGUAACGCGUAUGCAACCUACCUUCAUCUGGGGGAUAGCCCGGAGAAAUCCGGAUUAAUACCGCAUAAAAUCACAGCACUGCAUAGUGCAAUGAUCAAACAUUUAUGGGACGGAGAUGGGCAUGCGUGUCAUUAGCUAGUUGGCGGGGUAACGGCCCACCAAGGCGACGAUGACUAGGGGAUCUGAGAGGAUGGCCCCCCACACUGGUACUGAGACACGGACCAGACUCCUACGGGAGGCAGCAGUAAGGAAUAUUGGUCAAUGGAGGCAACUCUGAACCAGCCAUGCCGCGUGCAGGAAGACUGCCCUAUGGGUUGUAAACUGCUUUUAUCCGGGAAUAAACCACAUUACGUGUAAUGUGCUGAAUGUACCGGAAGAAUAAGGAUCGGCUAACUCCGUGCCAGCAGCCGCGGUAAUACGGAGGAUCCAAGCGUUAUCCGGAUUUAUUGGGUUUAAAGGGUGCGUAGGCGGCCUGUUAAGUCAGGGGUGAAAGACGGUAGCUCAACUAUCGCAGUGCCCUUGAUACUGAUGGGCUUGAAUGGACUAGAGGUAGGCGGAAUGAGACAAGUAGCGGUGAAAUGCAUAGAUAUGUCUCAGAACACCGAUUGCGAAGGCAGCUUACUAUGGUCUUAUUGACGCUGAGGCACGAAAGCGUGGGGAUCAAACAGGAUUAGAUACCCUGGUAGUCCACGCCCUAAACGAUGAACACUCGCUGUUGGCGAUACACAGUCAGCGGCUAAGCGAAAGCGUUAAGUGUUCCACCUGGGGAGUACGCUCGCAAGAGUGAAACUCAAAGGAAUUGACGGGGGCCCGCACAAGCGGAGGAGCAUGUGGUUUAAUUCGAUGAUACGCGAGGAACCUUACCCGGGCUUGAAAGUUAGUGAAUCAUCCAGAGAUGGAUGA
rnacentral:rRNA from 1 species